CAGUAGCCGCGGGAAUACGAAGGGGGCUAGCGUUGUUCGGAAUUACUGGGCGUAAAGCGCACGUAGGCGGAUUUUUAAGUCAGGGGUGAAAUCCCGAGGCUCAACCUCGGAACUGCCUUUGAUACUGGAGAUCUUGAGUUCGGAAGAGGUUGGUGGAACAGCUAGUGUAGAGGUGAAAUUCGUAGAUAUUAGCUAGAACACCAGUGGCGAAGGCGGCCAACUGGUCCGAUACUGACGCUGAGGUGCGAAAGCGUGGGGAGCAAACAGGAUUAGAUACCCCUGUAGUCCCUGUCUCUUAUAC
rnacentral:rRNA from 1 species